CCACCUCUAUUCUUUUCGAUCUUGCUUUUGUCAAUCUCACUAGCUUUGCGCUUCAUGACAUCCUUGGUUUCGUUGAUCUUGCUUUGCAAUACCAGCUUGUGCAGUUUCUCUUCAUGACUCUCCAUCUCACAAUAUUGCUUAACCUGUGCAACAGUCACAUUUUCCUUGUGUCCAAGGGAGAUGACCUCAUCAAACGCAAAAAUCAACUCAAAAGCUGUCUUGCAAAUGCCCUCUUCAUCAAGAGACAUAGAGUAUUCAGGCACAAGCUUGGAGAGUAGCCUUAGAGUCUCCAAAUCUUCAAGAAUGUUGCUCUGUUUAUUUGUCACAAGUAGCAAGUACAAAGCCUCUAUUGGCUGAUAAACAUAUCGCACAUUCUCAGUCUCAACAUAUGUAUGCUGCUUUCCAGUUCCUAUCAAUUUGGGAAAGGCUGCAAGAAGGCCUUCAAUCCUCAUACGGGACAUGUCCACAAACUGCCUAGAAACAAGCACUUUCCCAGACUUGCUCACUAUAGAAGCAGCAAGCACAACCAUCUUGAUUAAUCAGAGAAAUAGACCACAGAAAAGAUUCUGCUUAUAACCCCUGGAUCGAGCUGCUUGUUUGCUGUAUCCUCUGUGUUUGAAGCAAGGAAGAAGAAG
rnacentral:misc_RNA from 1 species